GUCGGGUGCAGUGGCACAUGCCUGUAGUCCCAGCUACUCAGGAGGCUGAGGUGGGAGCAUCACUUGAGCCAAGGAGUUCUGGGCUGUAUAGUGUGUUAUGCUGAUUGGGUGUCUGCACUAAGUUUGGCAUCAAUAUGGUGACCUCCCGGGAUCGGGAGACCACCAGGUUGCCUAAGGAGGGAUGAACCAGCCUAGGUCAGAAACAGAGCAGGUCAAAACUCCUGUGUUCAUCAGUCGUGAGAUCACACCUGGGAAUAGCCACUGCACUCCAGCCUGGGCAAUAGAGUAAGACUGCAUCUCU
ensembl:misc_RNA Metazoa_SRP Metazoan signal recognition particle RNA